rnacentral:rRNA from 1 species
UACGUAGGGAGCUAGCGUUGUCCGGAAUCAUUGGGCGUAAAGAGCUCGUAGGCGGCUCGUCGCGUCGACCGUGAAAACCCGCGGCUUAACUGCGGGCUUGCGGUUGAUACGGGCGGGCUAGAGUUCGGUAGGGGAGACUGGAAUUCCUAGUGUAGCGGUGAAAUGCGCAGAUAUCAGGAGGAACACCGGUGGCGAAGGCGGGUCUCUGGGCCGAUACUGACGCUGAGGAGCGAAAGCGUGGGGAGCAAACAGG